ACGAACGCUGGCGGUGUGCUUCAUACAUGCAAGUCGAACGAUAAGGUCCCUUCGGGGAUACAUAAGUGGCGGACGGGUGAGUAACACGUAGAAAAUCUACCUCGAGGAAGGGGACAACAGUUGGAAACGACUGCUAAUACCCUAUAUGAGCUGGGCUGAAACGCCUAUCUUGAAAGUUCCGGCGCCUUGAGAUGAGUCUGCGUCUGAUUAGCUAGUUGGUGGGGUAAAUGCCUACCAAGGCGGCGAUCAGUAGCUGGUUUGAGAGGAUGACCAGCCACAAUGGGACUGAGACACGGCCCAUACUCCUACGGGAGGCAGCAGCUAAGAAUCUUCCGCAAUGGGCGAAAGCCUGACGGAGCGACGCCCGCGUGAACGAAGAAGGCCGUGAGGUUGUAAAGUUCUUUUCGGGAGGGGGAACAACCGUGGCAGGGAAUGGCCGCGGGAUGACGUGAAUCCCGGAAUAAGCCCCGGCUAACUACGUGCCAGCCGCUGC
rnacentral:rRNA from 1 species